GAUUAACGCUGGCGGCGUGCAUAACACAUGCAAGUCGAACGAUGAAACUUAACUGAUUUCUUCGGAAUGAUUGUAAGUGGCUUAGUGGCGGACGGGUGAGUAACGCGUGCGUAACCUGCCUUGGAGAAGGGGAUAGCCUUUGGAUAAGAACAAUAAUACCCUAUGAUAUGAUACUAUCUAAUGAUAUUAUUAUCACAGAUUUAUCGCUCUAUGAUGGACUUGCGUCUGAUUAGUUAGUUGGUGAGGUAACAGCUCACCAAGGCAGCGAUCAGUAGCCGGCUUGGGGAAGUGUACGGCCACAUUGGGACUGAGACACGGCCCAGACUCCUACGGGAGGCAGCAGUGGGGAAUUAUGCACAAUGGGGGAAACCCUGAGGCAGCGACGCCGCGUGAUUUAGAAGGCCUGCAGGUUGUAAAAAUCCUUUAUAUGGGAAGAAAAUGACAGUACCAUACGAAUAAGGACCGGCUAAUUACGUG
rnacentral:rRNA from 1 species